UUCGUAGGUGACCUGCGGAGGAUCAUUA
rnacentral:rRNA from 7 species